AUCCUUCUGUGGUACCCAAGCAUGACGAGGGGGUUUUCAUGCUAUUCUGAGAUGUAUUUCCCAACAAACUGCCUACAAUGCCUGCACAUCAGCCGUCUGACU